rnacentral:rRNA from 1 species
CCUACGGGUGGCAGCAGUGAGGAAUAUUGGUCAAUGGACGCAAGUCUGAACCAGCCAUGCCGCGUGAAGGAAGACGGCCCUAUGGGUUGUAAACUGCUUUUGUACCGGGGUAAACGUAUACACGAGUAUCUUUUUUCAUGUACUGUACGAAUAAGGAUCGGCUAACUCCGUGCCAGCCGCCGCGGUAAUACGGAGGAUUCGAGCGUUAUCCGGAUUUAUUGGGUUUAAAGGGAGCGUAGGCGGUGGGUUAAGUUAGGUGUGAAAUCCCGAGGCUCAACUUUGGAAUUGCAUUUGAUACUGGUAGGCUAGAGAAUAGUUGCGGUAGGCGGAAUGUAUGGUGUAGCGGUGAAAUGCGUAGAGAUGAGGAAGAACACCGAAUGCGAAGGCAGCUUACUAAGCUGGUACUGACGUUGAUGCGCGAAAGCGUGGGGAGCAAACAGGAUUAGAUACCCCUGUAGUC